AGUGAACGCUGGCGGAGGCCUAACACAUGCAAGUCGAACGGCAGCACAGUAAGAGCUUGCUCUUACGGGUGGCGAGUGGCGGACGGGUGAGGAAUACAUCGGAAUCUACUUUUUCGUGGGGGAUAACGUAGGGAAACUUACGCUAAUACCGCAUACGACCUACGGGUGAAAGCAGGGGAUCUUCGGACCUUGCGCGAUUGAAUGAGCCGAUGUCGGAUUAGCUAGUUGGCGGGGUAAAGGCCCACCAAGGCGACGAUCCGUAGCUGGUCUGAGAGGAUGAUCAGCCAAAAUGGAACUGAGACACGGUCCAGACUCCUACGGGAGGCAGCAGUGGGGAAUAUUGGACAAUGGGCGCAAGCCUGAUCCAGCCAUACCGCGUGGGUGAAGAAGGCCUUCGGGUUGUAAAGCCCUUUUGUUGGGAAAGAAAAGCAGCAGGUUAAGACCCCGCUGUUCUGACGGUACCCAAAGAAUAAGCACCGGCUAACUUCGU
rnacentral:rRNA from 1 species